UACGAAGGGGACUAGCGUUGCUCGGAAUCACUGGGCGUAAAGCGCACGUAGGCGGAUUGCUAAGUCAGGGGUGAAAUCCUGGAGCUCAACUCCAGAACUGCCUUUGAUACUGGCGAUCUCGAGUCCGGGAGAGGUGAGUGGAACUGCGAGUGUAGAGGUGAAAUUCGUAGAUAUUCGCAAGAACACCAGUGGCGAAGGCGGCUCACUGGCCCGGUACUGACGCUGAGGUGCGAAAGCGUGGGGAGCAAACAGG
rnacentral:rRNA from 1 species